rnacentral:rRNA from 1 species
GACGAACGCUGGCGGCGUGCUUAACACAUGCAAGUCGAACGGAAAGGCCCUGCUUUUGUGGGGUGCUCGAGUGGCGAACGGGUGAGUAACACGUGAGUAACCUGCCCUUGACUUUGGGAUAACUUCAGGAAACUGGGGCUAAUACCGGAUAGGAGCUCCUGCUGCAUGGUGGGGGUUGGAAAGUUUCGGCGGUUGGGGAUGGACUCGCGGCUUAUCAGCUUGUUGGUGGGGUAGUGGCUUACCAAGGCUUUGACGGGUAGCCGGCCUGAGAGGGUGACCGGCCACAUUGGGACUGAGAUACGGCCCAGACUCCUACGGGAGGCAGCAGUGGGGAAUAUUGCACAAUGGGCGGAAGCCUGAUGCAACAACGCCGCGUGCGGGAUGACGGCCCUCGGGUUGUAAACCGCUUUCGCCUGUGACGAAGCGUGAGUGACGGUAAUGGGUAAAGAAGCACCGGCUAACUACGUG